AGUGUAGGUUCUAAUGAGAGAUAAACAAAGGAAAUAGUUGCUACACUGCUGCAUUCUAUUAGCCUAAGCUACAGUGGGAAAGAACGAUAUACACGAGAUAACCAAUCCAUUUUCUUACAUCACCUGUCCAGCUUGGUGACCCACUGCAGGGCUAAAAUUUCACUUUCACAUAUACGGUCAAUUUAUCAUCACCAGUUAGCCUAAUCUGGAUGUUUCUGGAAUGUUUGGGGAAGCCUGAGUACAUUGAGAAACAGAUAAAGUCUGCACAGAAAACCCAGAUCUGGUAUGAAAUCCAUUAUGGUGUUGCCGUGAAGUGACAACUGUAACUGCUGGGCCACCGUGAAGCACAAACAAUAUUAUUUUAAUAUUGGGAAGCAUUUUAGAUAGCUUAAAAAAUAAAAUAGGUUUUAGAUAUAAAGAAAUAUCAUGCACGCUGAUGUCAUCUUCAACAAAGAAGAAUGAUCCAGGUUCUUCUAUACAAAGUCAUAAUUCAACGUUAUACUCAUUGGCUCUGCAAUUAUGGGUACUGGAGCAGAAUUGGUGUUAGGAGAGAAAACACUGGGCUUGGGUAAGACCCUACCAUAUUCCCAAACAAAACAUUUUUGAAAGUUUGUGGUUCAUAAGAGUGAAAACAUUUUACAAAAAGACUUAAUUCAGCAACUAGGUGUGCACAAACCACUCAGCCAGACUAUCAAUCGUUCUCAUCUCUCAUGCACUUUAAGUAUUAAGAGCAUGAGUAUGAGAAAGCAGGAACCAAAAACCUCAUCAGAAACACUGUGUGGAUCAAACAGUCAAUCUAGAGGAGCUCCAUUUUUUCCAUGGAGAUUUUCAG